rnacentral:miRNA from 1 species
AGACUGGUUAAUGAUAACAAUGCAUCAUAAAACCUUCAGGAGGAAAGAAGAAUGUGUUUUGUGGACCAUUUGUUUUCUUCUUGUGUGUGACAGUUUAAAGUUAUUA